rnacentral:tRNA from 1 species
UGGGGAUGUAGCUCAGUUGGUAGAAUGCUUGCCUUGCAUGCACAAGUCCCUGAGUUUGAUACCCAGCACCUAA